AUACGUAGGGGGCGAGCGUUGUCCGGAAUUAUUGGGCGUAAAGGGUUCGCAGGCGGUCCUUUAAGUCAGAUGUGAAAGCCAUAGGCUCAACCUAUGUAAGCAUUUGAAACUGAAGGACUUGAGUUAAGGAGAGGAAAGUGGAAUUCCUAGUGUAGCGGUGAAAUGCGUAGAUAUUAGGAGGAAUACCAGUGGCGAAGGCGACUUUCUGGACUUAUACUGACGCUGAGGAACGAAAGCGUGGGGAGCAAACAGGAUUAGAUACCCUGGUAGUCCACGCCGUAAACGAUGAGUGCUAGGUGUUGGGGGUCAAACCUCGGUGCCGCAGCUAACGCAUUAAGCACUCCGCCUGGGGAGUACGUACGCAAGUAUGAA
rnacentral:rRNA from 1 species